rnacentral:misc_RNA from 1 species
AGUCACAGUUCACGUUUGUCUCUUUCUCCGUCGUCACAUCUAGAAGUGCCUGAGUGCAGACGCUAUUGAAUUGCUAUUUACUCUGCAGUUCUGGUCGCCGCCAAGGUACAACUCAACAAAUCGUGAAUUUUUUCCUCUUGUGUACUGAUUCAGCCUCGAGGAUUGCCUUUGUUAUCGGGAACUAAAUUAUACUUAACAGACUCAUAGACAUGUCAAAUCCGUCUGCAGACAGCACUUUCGUCAUGGACGACAUUUAUCGUGCCACAACAACUGCAAUUCCAAAUGUAUCGCGAAAUAUGCUUGGUUCGUUAAAAACAUUUGUUGGUGCUGGAACAAACGACCCCGAUGAAAAAGAGGCUUUUUUGGAUAUUAAACCAUUAACCAGAAGAGGUCCGGCCGCCGAAGUCGGUGAUGAUAUCGAAUUGAAGGCAGUUCAGUUGCAGUUCCCAUCUGCUCGUACGUUGGAUAAGAACAACUCUCUUUACCAGGAAGAACGGAUCGAAACAGGAAGAGGCAACCUGCUCGUUGCUAUACAAGGCGAUCGUACUCAGCCUGCCAUGAUCACGUACCACGAUUUAGGACUGAAUCAUGUGGCCAACUUCCAGGCAUUUUUUAACUUUUCAGAGAUGCGUACUCUUGCCCAAAAUUUUUGCUUGUAUCACAUCAAUGCCCCAGGCCAAGAGGAAGGUGCGGCUACAGUACCAGAAGGGUAUAUUUAUCCCACUAUGGAGGAAUUAAGUGAGCAGAUAAGUGAUGUGAUGCUACACUUUAAUCUUAAAUCAUUCAUUGGUCUCGGAGUUGGUGUCGGGGCCAACGUUUUGGUCCGCUUUGCUCUGUUUCAUCCUGAAAAGGUUGACGCGCUGUGCCUGUUGAACUGCGUCUCAACGACAGCCGGAUGGAUUGAAUGGGGUUACCAAAAGUUGAAUGCUAGGCACUUGCGUUCGAAGGGCAUGACACAAGGUGCCCUAGAUUAUCUGAUGUGGCACCAUUUUGGACGAUUAACGGAGGAGCGUAAUCACGACUUGGUUCAUGUUUAUCGUGAAUACUUCGAACACCACGUCAAUCCAAUGAAUUUGGCAUUGUUUAUAGAUUCAUACAUUCAACGGACAGAUCUAAAUAUCUCACGCGAGCUAGACCCAAAUCGGCGAGCAUCAGUCAGGACAGUGGAAGUACCUGUUUUGAACAUGACUGGAGCACUUGGUCCUCAUGUUGAUGACACAGUCACAUUUAACUCGAGAUUGGAUCCAUCCACUUCAACCUGGAUAAAACUCCAAGAUUGUGGAAUGGUUCUGGAAGAACAACCAGCUAAAGUCGUUGAGGCUCUUCGACUUUUUCUUCAAGGCAACGGUUACGCCCUGAAGCUAUCACGGAAGCCGUCAGCCUCCCCUUCUGAAGAUUUCAGUGUUGGCGGUUAAGAUCCCCUGGCUACAGCCUAGACGAUGUCCCUAGUACCAUCUACAAGAUUAUUUGGCGACAUUUACAAUUGUUUGAAAACUGAUUCCACACCUUUUCCAACGUGUCCGAUCAAGAAAACGGCAAUCCCAGAUGAUGGUUCACUUCCGUUGGCUGCCUGUCAAAAUUAUUUAAAUGUGUUGCGUUACCACAGCAUAAUUAAGCAUGAAUACAAAACGCAGGACUGUUUCAAAAAUAAA